rnacentral:sRNA from 1 species
GGGGAAUUUUCCGCAAUGGGCGAAAGCCUGACGGAGCAAUACCGCGUGAGGGAGGACGGCUUUUGGGUUGUAAACCUCUUUUAUCAGGGAAGAAUCGAUGACGGUACCUGAUGAAUCAGCAUCGGCUAACUCCGUGCCAGCAGCCGCGGUAAUACGGAGGAUGCAAGCGUUAUCCGGAAUUAUUGGGCGUAAAGCGUCCGUAGGUGGUUUAUCAAGUCUGCUGUCAAAGCGUGCGGCUUAACCGCAUAAGGGCAGUGGAAACUGAUGAACUAAAGUGCGAUAGGGGUAACAGGAAUUCCCAGUGUAGCGGUGAAAUGCGUAGAUAUUGGGAAGAACACCAGCGGCGAAAGCGUGUUACUGGGUCUGCACUGACACUGAGGGACGAAAGCUAUGGGAGCGAAAGGGAUUAGAUACCCUGUAGUCCUAGCCGUAAACGAUGACAACUAGGCGUGGUUCGUAUCGACCCGAGCCGUGCCGUAGCCAACGCGUUAAGUUGUCCGCCUGGGGAGUACGCACGCAAGUGUGAAACUCAAAGGAAUUGACGGGGGCCCGCACAAGCGGUGGAGUAUGUGGUUUAAUUCGAUGCAACGCGAAGAACCUUACCAAGGCUUGACAUCCUCGGAACCCUGAUGAAAGUUAGGGGUGCCUUCGGGAGCCGAGAGACAGGUGGUGCAUGGCUGUCGUCAGCUCGUGUCGUGAGAUGUUGGGUUAAGUCCCGCAACGAGCGCAACCCACGUUUUUAGUUGCCAGCAUUCAGUUGGGCACUCUAGAGAGACUGCCGGUGACAAACCGGAGGAAGGUGUGGAUGACGUCAAGUCAGCAUGCCCCAUACGCCUUGGGCUACACACGUACUACAAUGCGUCGGACAAAGAGCAGCCAGCCAGCGAUGGUGAGCCAAUCUCAUAAACCGGCGCUCAGUUCAGAUUGCAGGCUGCAACUCGCCUGCAUGAAGGCGGAAUCGCUAGUAAUCGCAGGUCAGCAUACUGCGGUGAAUACGUUCCCGGGCCUUGUACACACCGCCCGUCACACCAUGGGAGUUGGUCACGCCCGAAGUCGUUACUCUAACUGCUUGCAGAGGAGGACGCCGAAGGUGGGGCUGAUGACUGGGGUGAAGUCGUAACAAGGUAGCCGUACCGGAAGGUGUGGCUGGAUCACCUCCUUAAAAGGAGACCUACCCCUUCAGGUUGACUAUUUGUGUCAAUCAGAAGUUGGUCAUCUUAAGGUCGGUGAGAGUUGGUGCUAGGUUUCCAAACUUGUCUAGUUCAUAACACGCUCAGCAAUCAAGCUAGAUUGUGAGUAGAACAUCUCAAGCAAUAGUCAUAGGUUAACUAUGCUAACUGCUGAGAUUGUUCUCAGCCGAAGAACCAAGAAAACUGCAUAGUAAUGAUGUCAGGUAGAGAUACACAGACACCAAUGUAAAGGACUAAAACUGAUUGAAAUAAUUAGUGGUCAAGCUACAAAGGGCAGAUGGUGGAUACCUAGGCACACAGAG